AGGGCAUCCCUUCUGAUUGAAGCGACUGAUAAUAAUGGGGGGCCUGAAUUAUAUAAGCAUGAACCAAGGGUAAAAAACAAUGACAACUUGGGACCCUCUAUUGUUGACCAAGAGUUGGAAGUGUCUACAAGGGUGAGUGACGGAGGUGAAAGGGCAGAUGGAAGGCCUUUGAAGCAGCGACUGCUAGUGGUGGCCAAUAGGCUCCCGGUCUCUGCAGGCAGGACAGGUGAAGACUCUUGGUCUCUAGAGAUAAGUGCUAGGGGUCUGAUCAGUGCCCUUGGGUGCGAAGGAGUUGAGGCGAGAUGGAUAUGAUGGGCUGGAGUAAAUGUGCCAGAUGAGAUUGGACAGAAAGCACUUACUAAAGCAUUGGCUUAAAAGAGGUGUAUUCCUGUAUUCCUUGAUGAGGACAUUGUUCAUCAAUACUACAAUGGCUAUUGCAACAACAUCUUGUGGCCUCUUUUUCGUUACCUUGGACUUCUGCAAGAAGGCUGCUUGGCCACCACCAGGAGUUUCCAGUCUCAGUUUGCUGCAUAUAUAAAGGCAAAUCAAAUGUUUGCUGAGGCUGUAAACAAACACUAUAAGGAUGGAGAUGUUGUGUGGUGCCGUGACUACCAUCUAUUGUUUCUUCCAAAGUGCCUAAAGGACCGCAACAGUGGAAUGAAAGUCAGUUGGUUUCUCCACACACCCUUCCCUUCUUCUGAAAUCCACAGGACACUUCCAUCUCAAUCAGAUCUGCUGCAUGCAGUUCUAGCUGCUGAUUUGGUUGGGUGAGUUUUUGUUGUAUUCUGCAUGUUGCUUAGAACUGAUGAAUUUUACUCAGAAACUCAAUUUUGGUUGUCAUGAAUGUUUCUCAUGGUAAGGUUAUAGCUAGGUUAUUCUUUGAUCCAAUGAAUGUUAUAGUUAAUAACCUAAAAGACAAUAGGCAUAUUUCUGUUUACACCAACUUUUGUUGCAUUGACCUAAGCCUUUGUAUUUUAGUUCUUACAAUGUGAGAAAAUUAAGUGGAUGUAAGGAAAAGCUGUUGUGGGUUUCCC